rnacentral:rRNA from 1 species
AAUUUAUGAUGAGGAUCGAAAACAAGUAGAGAAGUAGCCGAUUUCACACUGUCAAGAAAAGCCGCUAAAUAGAUAAAUGAUACCCGUACCGUAAACCGACACAGGUAGGAAAGGAGAGAAUCCUAAGACGCGCGGAAGAACCUUUGUUAAGGAACUCGGCAAAAUGACCCCGUAAGUUAGCGAGAAGGGGAGCCAGAGCGAUCUGGCCGCAGUGAAUAGGCCCAAGCGACUGUUUACCAAAAACACAAGUUUCUGCUAAGUCGAAAGACGACGUAUAGGAGCUGACACCUGCCCGGUGCUGGAAGGUUAAGGGGAAAUGUUAGCCUCAGGCGAAGCAUAGAACUUAAGCCCCAGUAAACGGCGGCCGUAACUAUAACGGUCCUAAGGUAGCGAAAUUCCUUGUCGGGUAAGUUCCGACCCGCACGAAAGGUGUAACGAUUUGGGCACUGUCUCAACAAAGGAUCCGGUGAAAUUGAAGUAAUGGUAAAGAUGCCAUUUACCCGCGACAGGACGGAAAGACCCCAUGGAGCUUUACUGUAGGCUGACAUUGGAUUUCGGUAGUACAUGUACAGAAUAGGUGGGAGGCUUAGAUCCUGGUACGCCAGUAUCAGAGGAGCCGAAAAGUGGGAUACCACUCCUGUAGUGCUGGAAUUCUAACCUUGAGCCGUAAACCGGUUUAGGGACACUGUCAGUUGGGCAGUUUGACUGGGGCGGUCGCCUCCCAAACAGUAACGGAGGCGUUCAAAGGUUCCCUCAGCACGGACGGAAAUCGUGCAAAGAGUACAAAGGCAGAAGGGAGCUUAACUGCGAGAUAAACAGAUCGAGCAGAUGAGAAAUCAGGACUUAGUGAUCCGGUGGUACCACGUGGAAGGGCCAUCGCUCAACGGAUAAAAGCUACCCUGGGGAUAACAGGCUUAUCUCCCCCAAGAGUUCAUAUCGACGGGGAGGUUUGGCACCUCGAUGUCGGCUCGUCUCAUCCUGGGGCUGAAGUAGGUCCCAAGGGUUGGGCUGUUCGCCCAUUAAAGAGGCACGCGAGCUGGGUUCAGAACGUCGCGAGACAGUUCGGUCCCUAUCCGUCGUGGGCGUAGGAAAUUUGAAAGGAGCUGUCCUUAGUACGAGAGGACCGGGAUGGACAAACCAAUGGUUUAUGAGUUGUAACGCCAGUUGCAUAGCUCAGUAGCUACGUUUGGAAAGGAUAAGAGCUGAAAGCAUCUAAGCACGAAGCCCCCC